rnacentral:rRNA from 1 species
GAUGAACGCUGGCGGCGUGCCUAAUACAUGCAAGUCGAGCGAACAGAUAAGGAGCUUGCUCCUUUGACGUUAGCGGCGGACGGGUGAGUAACACGUGGAUAACCUACCUAUAAGACUUGGAUAACUUCGGGAAACCGGAGCUAAUACCGGAUAACAUAUUGAACCGCAUGGUUCAAUAGUGAAAGGCGGCUUUGCUGUCACUUAUAGAUGGAUCCGCGCCGUAUUAGCUAGUUGGUAAGGUAACGGCUUACCAAGGCAACGAUACGUAGCCGACCUGAGAGGGUGAUCGGCCACACUGGAACUGAGACACGGUCCAGACUCCUACGGGAGGCAGCAGUAGGGAAUCUUCCGCAAUGGGCGAAAGCCUGACGGAGCCACGCCGCGUGAGUGAUGAAGGUCUUCGGAUCGUAAAACUCUGUUAUCAGGGAAGAACAAAUGUGUAAGUAACUGUGCACAUCUUGACGGUACCUGAUCAGAAAGCCACGGCUAACUACGUG